AUCAGUAGCCGGACUGAGAGGUUGAACGGCCACAUUGGGACUGAGAUACGGCCCAGACUCCUACGGGAGGCAGCAGUCGGGAAUAUUGCGCAAUGGAGGAAACUCUGACGCAGUGACGCCGCGUAUAGGAAGAAGGUUUUCGGAUUGUAAACUAUUGUCGUUAGGGAAGAUACAAGACAGUACCUAAGGAGGAAGCUCCGGCUAACUACGUGCCAGCAGCCGCGGUAAUACGUAGGGAGCAAGCGUUAUCCGGAUUUAUUGGGUGUAAAGGGUGCGUAGACGGGAAAGCAAGUUAGUUGUGAAAUCCCUCGGCUUAACUGAGGAACUGCAACUAAAACUACUUUUCUUGAGUGUUGGAGAGGAAAGUGGAAUUCCUAGUGUAGCGGUGAAAUGCGUAGAUAUUAGGAGGAACACCGGUGGCGAAGGCGACUUUCUGGACAAUAACUGACGUUGAGGCACGAAAGUGUGGGGAGCAAACAGGAUUAGAUACCCUGGUAGUCCACACCGUAAACGAUGGAUACUAGGUGUAGGGAACAUUAAGUUUUCUGUGCCGUCGCAAACGCAAUAAGUAUCCCACCUGGGGAGUACGGCCGCAAGGUUGAAACUCAAAGGAAUUGACGGGGGCCCGCACAAGCAGUGGAGUAUGUGGUUUAAUUCGACGCAACGCGAAGAACCUUACCAGGGCUUGACAUACAGAUGAAUAUACUAGAGAUAGUAUAGCUCUUCGGAGCAUCUGUACAGGUGGUGCAUGGUUGUCGUCAGCUCGUGUCGUGAGAUGUUAGGUUAAGUCCUGCAACGAGCGCAACCCCUGUGAUUAGUUGCCAACAGGUAAAGCUGGGAACUCUAAUCAGACUGCCGGUGAUAAAUCGGAGGAAGGUGGGGAUGACGUCAAAUCAUCAUGCCCUUUAUGUCCUGGGCUACACACGUACUACAAUGGCUGUAACAGAGAGAAGCAAAACAGUGAUGUUGAGCAAAACUUUAAAAAGCAGUCUCAGUUCGGAUUGAAGGCUGAAAUUCGCCUUCAUGAAGCCGGAAUUGCUAGUAAUGGCAGGUCAGCAUACUGCCGUGAAUACGUUCCCGGGCCUUGUACACACCGCCCGUCACACCAUGAGAGUUGGGGAUACCCGAAGCCUGUGAGCCAACUAUUUACUUAGAGGCAGCAGUCGAAGGUAGAAUCAAUGAUUGGGGUGAAGUCGUAACAAGGUAGCCGUAUCAGAAGGUGCGGCUG
rnacentral:rRNA from 1 species